rnacentral:ncRNA from 1 species
GGGUGUCGGGUCAACAUAGGGUUGAUCUAGGGCAGGUAAUUGUGUUGGUCGGGCCGCCACG